GAACUGAUGAGGCUGCUAUAUUAUUCAGCAUUUUUCAUUCUAAUGUCUACAUGAGCUUAGCAUUACUGUAAACAACAUGACUGCAAAUUCUACUUCUCCAAAAACACAGAUGAAGCAGGCUAAAAACGACACUGGAUUGCUCGUUCCACUCCUAUCUGAAGUUGAGUCUUCAGAAAAUCAAAUCACUAAUGGUGCAUCAAUUUCUGGAGCAGUGCUCAACAUAUCAACAACCAUGAUAGGUGCUGGAAUCAUGUCACUUCCAGCAACAAUCAAGGUGCUAGGGAUAAUUCCUGGGUUCAUAGUUCUCCUUGGAGUUGCAUUUUUUGUGGAGAUAACUGUGGAGUUUAUGCUAAGGUUCACACAAUCAGGCCAGGCCAAUACCUAUGCUGGACUUGUGGGGGAAUCCUUUGGUACUUUAGGAUCUAUUGGAGUGCAAAUUUGUGUCAUCAUCACCAAUCUUGGUUGUCUUAUCAUCUAUUUGAUUAUAAUUGGGGAUGUCCUGUGUGGGAAUCAAUCUGGUGAAACCUUGCACAUUGGCGUUCUACAAGAAUGGUUUGGCAUCCACUGGUGGAACUCGCGGACCUAUGCCCUUCUAUUCCUUGUGGUCAUUGUGAUGCUUCCCCUGGUCUUAUUGCGCCGAGUAGAUUCCCUAAAGUUCACUUCAGGAAUCUCCAUUCUCCUUGCAAUAGUGUUCGUAGCCACAAGUUCAGCAAUGGCAGUUUAUGCAAUGUGGCAAGGGAAGACUCAGAAAAUAAGACUAUUCCCAGAUUUUGCCAAUCAAGUCUCCACGUUUGAUCUUUUCACCACAAUCCCAGUCUUUGUAACUAGUUUUGGAUUGCAUGUUAAUGUGCACCCCAUUAGAUCAGAACUUGGAAAACCUUCUGAUAUGAACUCAGCUGUCAGGAUUUCCCUCAUCAUAAGCACUGUAAUUUACUUUGCAAUUGGUUUCUUUGGCUACUUGCUGUUUGGUGACUCUGUCAUGCCUGACAUUCUAGUGAACUUUGAUCAAAAUUCUGAUACUCCUAUGGGCCAAUUACUGAAUGAUUUCGUCCGGUUAAGCUAUGCAAUCCACCUGGUUUUUGUAUAUCCUGUGAUGAGCUUCUCAUUGAGGGCUAACAUAGAUGAACUGCUCUUUCCCAAGAGGCCUAUAUUAGCCAUGGACACCGCAAGAUUUGUGUCUUUAACUUGUGUUCUAUUGGCUGUUUCUUAUAUAGUAGCUGUAGCCAUACCAAAUAUAUGGUAUUUUUUCCAGUUCUUGGGAUCAACAACUGUUGUUUUUCUCUCAUUUAUUUUUCCAGGCUUGAUUAUUCUUAGGGAUAUUCAUGGCAUUUCUACAACAAGGGAUAAGAUCAUGGCAGUGUUAGUGAUUAUCCUUGCUGGGGUAACCAGCUUCAUAGCCAUAUAUACAAACCUACAAAGUUCCAAGAGCAACAAAUGAUUGUUAUUUUUUUUUACUUUUCUUUUCCUUCAACUACAUCUCUUGCAAGAGGAACAGAUAAGAAUUUUUCAUAUGCGUCCUUUGCAUUGGAAGAUUCUCAAGACUCCUUAUAGUGCUACAUCUAUAACAUCAUUUGUUUGCAAGGCACUAGAACUAUUUUGGAGUGGUUUAGAAGACAAAAGGACCAGAAAAGGGUGGUGAUAUGCCAUCUUUGAUCGUCGUGUCUCAUUAUGAGUAAGAGUAGAGAGACUUCAACUUUAUAUGGAAUGAAUUUUAUAACAUUUAAAUUAAAUAUUUGUAUGUAAAUUUAUACAAAAAUUUGAUAAUGUAAGAAUUAAUCUCAAUAUAAUAUUUAAAUAAGUUGUUAUUAAACUCGUUUUUAAUAC